rnacentral:rRNA from 1 species
GGUUUGACGGUACCUAUAAARRAARCACCGGCUAACUCCGUGCCAGCAGCCGCGGUAAUACGGGGGGUGCAAGCGUUGUUCGGAAUUAUUGGGCGUARAGCGCGUGUAGGCGGUCUGAUUAGUCUGAUGUGAAAGCCCUGGGCUCAACCCAGGAAGUGCAUUGGAUACUGUCAGACUUGAAUACGGGAGAGGGUAGUGGAAUUCCUAGUGUAGGAGUGAAAUCCGUAGAUAUUAGGAGGAACACCGGUGGCGAAGGCGGCUACCUGGACCGAUAUUGACGCUGAGACGCGAAAGCGUGGGUAGCAAACAGGAUURGAUACCCUGGUAGUCCACGCCGUAAACGAUGAGAACUAGGUGUYGCGGGUA